UAAUCUUGAAAAAAUUCUAAAGAAGAUGGCGGAAGCUGGGUUUGAACUUGAUCAAUCCCCAGCUGAAAUGGUUCGUUUUGAUAGACAAAUUAGUUUUGAAAUUGCUGAUUCCAUUUCUGCCUUACGACCACUAUGCCUCUGCUGAUAGAAGAUGUUUGCGCAAUGAAAGAUGCUGAACAAAAAUCUGGUGAAAGGGGGCUAGAACUCCUCGUAGGGAGAUCUUACCCGCUGGUCAGAAAAUUGGGAUCCCUUCCACAUUGUUAUUGGAAUUGG